UUGACUUUUCCAAAGGUCUGGGAUAAGGGGUGGGUAAGGACGGUGCCAGCCGCCGCGGUAAUACCGGCGCCUCAAGUGGUAGUCGCUUUUAUUGGGCCUAAAACGUCCGUAGCCGGUCUGGUGCAUUCGUGGGUAAAUCAACCCGCUCAACGGGUUGAAUUCUGCGAGCACGGCCAGACUUGGGACCGGGAGAGGUGUGGGGUACUCUCAGGGUAGGGGUAAAAUCCUGUCAUCCUGAGAGGACCACCUGUUGCGAAGGCGCCACACUAGAACGGAUCCGACGGUCAGGGACGGAACCUAGGGGCACGAACCGGAUUAGAUACCCGGGUAGUCCUAGGUGUAAACGCUGUGGACUUGAUGUUGGGGGCGCUCCGAGCGCUUUCAGUGUCGAAGCGAAGGUGAUAAGUCCACUGCCUGGGGAGUACGGUCGCAAGGCUGAAACUUAAAGGAAUUGGCGGGGGAGCACCGCAACCUGAGGAUUGUACGGUUUAAUUGGAUUCAACGCCGGGAAUC
rnacentral:rRNA from 1 species